GAUGAACGCUAGCGGCAGGCUUAACACAUGCAAGUCGAGGGGCAGCACGAGGUAGCAAUACUUUGGUGGCGACCGGCGCACGGGUGCGUAACGCGUAUGCAACCUACCUUUAACAGGGGCAUAACACUGAGAAAUUGGUACUAAUUCCCCAUAACAUUCGAAAGGACGACUACUUCUUCGGUUUAAAACGGUUAAACCGUCGGGUUAAAGGUUAAAGUAGGUCGGACUAGUCGGUUCGGUUAGUUUAAGUACGUACGUUUAGGGUUU
rnacentral:rRNA from 1 species